AGACGUUUAAGUAAUAGUCCUUGGACUAUUACGCGUACAAGUACGUGCGGCUUGCCCACAAACGUGUGAAGGGCUCCUCAUUUUUAUCCCCUUUUUAAUUUGUCCAGUCAGAUGGAUUAUGAGGAAAACCUAACGUAGCUCUGUUGUGUCCACAACUAGAGGGCGAAAACGUUCUAUAUCACGUAUAUGUAAAGUUUUUAUAUAAAUUCCAAACAAUUUGAUCUUGGCGAUUUCGUGUGGGAACCCCGAAACUCAAUAUCAUAUAAUGGCUGACGAUUUUCAAAAAAUUCCAAAUAGAUUCUUAACAAUUCCUACUCAUACUAAAGAACUGACGGAUUUGAUGUACAAUUACAAAAUUUUUAAACUUAACUAUUCAGACUCUAAUGGCAAAAUUUAUGGCUUAAAGAUUUUUCCUUUCAUUAACAAAAUAAGGAGUGGAUUAGCAUCAAAAGAAUAUAUUGAAACAGAUGACUCAAGUUCAAGUUUUUCAGAUGAAGAUAGUGUAAAUAAAUAUUUUGCACCAUUAUUAAUGCACACCUUAAUUUGAAUAAAAAAAUAGAUUCUGCACAAAUAAACAAGCUUGAGUCCAAAGAUAAAAAUUUGAAUUUCAACCAAAAGAAAAACUUAAUUUUUAAAACAAAAUAUUAUUAUCAUAUAAAUUGCAAUUUGGAAAUAAAAGAUAAAAAGGCUGUCAAACUUAAUUUAUCUGAAAAUGAUAGAUUUCAAAAAAAUAAUAUUCCUAAAAGUGAUAUAAAUAAAUUUUCUUCUAGUUUAUGUCUAGAACAAAGCAAUGAGGGUUAUUUCAAGAAGAUUUCAUACAGAACAAAAAGAAUGUCAAAUAUCCAUAAUUAUAAAUCUACUGAUUCAUCAAUAGAACUUUAUCUGAAUAAAAAUCAAGAAGUCUAUAAAUGUUGUACAUACAACAAAAAAUUAUUUUUUAAAUUUAAAUUGUUUAAGUGUUCACAAUUAUAUAGAUUGCAUUAUCCAAAUACAGGUUAGGUUAUAUGAGUUAUAAAUAUAUUAUAUAUAGGGAAGCAAAUAUUUAUGCCAAUAUUAAAAUGAUAUAUUUAUAUUUAUAAAUGUGUAUAACUUGGGAAUUGUGAAUAUUUUUAAUGAAUGUUAAUAAAAAAU